AUCACUUCUUGGCUGCGUGACCAAAGGUUAUGUGUAAUAUCUUUCCUUCACAGUGUAAUCUCUGCAACAGCCUCUAAACUGAAACCAGCCAAAAUUACCUGAUUUUUUCACUAACAUACGAGUGAGGUGAGCUUGCUCAGUCUCUUUUACAGGUCGGCUGAAUAUAGCAUUACCUCGCGGAGUGUCCCGUUUUUC
rnacentral:snRNA from 1 species